GACGAACGCUGGCGGCGUGCCUAAUACAUGCAAGUUGAGCGCUGAAGGUUGGUACUUGUACCAACUGGAUGAGCAGCGAACGGGUGAGUAACGCGUGGGGAAUCUGCCUUUGAGCGGGGGACAACAUUUGGAAACGAAUGCUAAUACCGCAUAAAAACUUUAAACACAAGUUUUAAGUUUGAAAGAUGCAAUUGCAUCACUCAAAGAUGAUCCCGCGUUGUAUUAGCUAGUUGGUGAGGUAAAGGCUCACCAAGGCGAUGAUACAUAGCCGACCUGAGAGGGUGAUCGGCCACAUUGGGACAGAGACACGGCCCAAACUCCUACGGGAGGCAGCAGUAGGGAAUCAUCGGCAAUGGACGAAAGUCUGACCAAGCAACGCCGCGUGAGUAAGGGAGGUUUUCGGAUCGUAAAACUCUGUUGGUAGAGAAGAACGUUGGUGAGAGUGAAAAGCUCAUCAAGUGACGGUAACUACACAGAAAGGAACGGCUAACUACGUG
rnacentral:rRNA from 1 species